GAUGAACGCUGGCGGCGUGCCUAAUACAUGCAAGUCGAGCGAAUGGAUUAAGAGCUUGCUCUUAUGAAGUUAGCGGCGGACGGGUGAGUAACACGUGGGUAACCUGCCCAUAAGACUGGGAUAACUCCGGGAAACCGGGGCUAAUACCGGAUAACAUUUUGAACCGCAUGGUUCGAAAUUGAAAGGCGGCUUCGGCUGUCACUUAUGGAUGGACCCGCGUCGCAUUAGCUAGUUGGUGAGGUAACGGCUCACCAAGGCGACGAUGCGUAGCCGACCUGAGAGGGUGAUCGGCCACACUGGGACUGAGACACGGCCCAGACUCCUACGGGAGGCAGCAGUAGGGAAUCUUCCGCAAUGGACGAAAGUCUGGCGGAGCAACGCCGCGUGAGUGUUGAAGGCUUUCGGGUCGUAAAACUCUGUUGUUAGGGAAGAACAAGUGCUAGUUGAAUAAGCUGGCACCUUGACGGUACCUAACCAGAAAGCCACGGCUAACUACGUGCCAGCCGCCGCCGUAA
rnacentral:rRNA from 1 species